GGCAACAGCUCAAAUUUGAAAUCUGGCCCUCGGGUCCGAAUUGUAAUUUGUAGAGGAUGCUUUUGGUGAGGUACCUUCCGAGUUCCCUGGAACGGGACGCCAUAGAGGGUGAGAGCCCCGUCUGGUUGGAUACCGAUCCUCUGUAAAGCUCCUUCGACGAGUCGAGUAGUUUGGGAAUGCUGCUCUAAAUGGGAGGUAUAUGUCUUCUAAAGCUAAAUAUUGGCCAGAGACCGAUAGCGCACAAGUAGAGUGAUCGAAAGAUGAAAAGCACUUUGAAAAGAGAGUUAAAAAGUACGUGAAAUUGUUGAAAGGGAAGCGCUCAUGACCAGACUUGGGCUUGGUUGAUCAUCCAGGGUUCUCCCUGGUGCACUCUUCCAGCCCAGGCCAGCAUCAGUUCGCUGUGGGGGAUAAAGGCUUUGGGAAUGUGGCUCCUCCGGGAGUGUUAUAGCCCAUUGUGUAAUACCCUGUGGUGGACUGAGGUUCGCGCAUCUGCAAGGAUGCUGGCGUAAUGGUCAUCAGCGACCCGU
rnacentral:rRNA from 1 species